GUAACGCGUGGGCAACCUGGCCCGCACUGGGGGACAACAGCCGGAAACGGCUGCUAAUACCGCAUAUGCGCACAGCUUUGCAUGAAGCAGUGUGGAAAACUCCGGUGGUGCGGGAUGGGCCCGCGUCUGAUUAGCUGGUUGGCGGGGCAACGGGCCCACCAAGGCGACGAUCAGUAGCCGGCCUGAGAGGGUGGACCGGCCACAUUGGGACUGAGACACGGCCCAGACUCCUACGGGAGGCAGCAG
rnacentral:rRNA from 1 species